CAGCCCGUACACCGUGUACCGCUCAGGGCCGCGUGUGGGAGCGGCAGGGAGUGCUCACUCGUGUUCCGCUUUGUGAGUGAAAACAAAGGGGAAGAUGCCACUUAAAACGUGGAAUGACAGAAAUGUGAACCUGAAGAAAAUAGAUGUAUGAAAAGAACAAAUCUCAGAAUUACAGUAGUACAAAUGGAAACAAAGACAUAAAACAUCCAGGUGAGAAGAAAUCAAAAUGCCCAGCCAAGUGAGCAGAUUUAUGAGAAUACACAAACUGAAGAUAGAUGGAAGAGUUCAGCAUGAAGGUACUGUGAAAGGCCACAGCCAGGCUCAAGAAGCUUACAUGCUGUGUAGAGUUGAUUCACAUCUGACAGGAGGUCAGAGCAACACAAAGCAGCUGCAAGCACUUUCGUAGGAUGUUCUAACAGAGAGAAGCUUGUUCAGGAACGAAGCGUGUGACCCGCUCACAGAACAGGUCUACAAGUUGUCUGCCCUGCAGAGAGUCUGGGAAAUCCUGCAUUCGACAUGUGAAGGGCUGCAGUAAUUCAGACAGCUUUAAGCAGUUCCUUAAUUUAUGCUACAGUUACUUCUGUUCUAGGAAGAUCUGAAAAAAUAAAGGCCAAAAGCAGCAGAGAUGUUCUUUCUGGCUGGAAGUUAAACCAUUUCUGGCCUAUCAGAAGGCUGCUGAUGGUUUUCAAGGAGGUGAAAAGCCCACUAAGGCUUGAUUUGCACUAUUUCAAAGCUUACUGUUCCUUAAUUUAUUUUUUGGGAGACGUGGAGGUAGUAUUAUUUUACACAAUUUAUAGUGGAACUUAGAAUUAUAACAAUGCAAGUGGAAUUGGAGUAGCAAUUUCUAGAUGAUAAACAGUUUCCUGGGUGUAUUAAAAAUGUUACAAAAGCUGUUACAGUGUGUACUAUUAGCAAAUCUAGAUUCAAAUUAAAUAUGAAAAGUAGUAAAACCUGUGAGCUUGCAAUAUUUGACAAAGCAAAAGGAACAAAGCUGGGUCUUAAAUUCCUUUUCUCAUUUACAGAGAAAAUUACAGUGGCUCUGAAUUGAACAGAAGUAGCUGUAGAAACCUUUUUUUUUAAACACAGUCUGUUCAUUUUUGAGAAGCUGAGAACUGUAACUCCUUGGUUUUAAGUUCAUCUGUACACACGUUUCGUGUACAAGGCUGGAAUUUGUGAUACAUAACUUUACAUACACACAGCUGAUACCUAAACAAGUUUACCAAGUUGCUACUUCUUUGAAAUUCAACACUUAGAAGAAUAACUGUUUGUAACUUUUUCCUACUGUUUUAUUUCAAUGUAUUCACCUGUAAUUCUCCUGUAAUUAUUUUCAAGCUAUUGUUGAAAUAAGAAACUUUUGUUCUUCUGUCCUUCAAUCUUUGCCUAGUUUAUCUGAAUGAAGUAAUUUAGAAGUACAUUACACCUCCAUUUCACCUUAGGUCAGCUAAAUAUGAAUCCUGUUUUUAUUUUUAAAGUGCACUCCUAGUUGUGUGGGUUUUUAUGCCGAAUCAGACUGUGCAAGUAAAGACAUGCCUUAAUGAGCCUGAGUUAGUACAUGACAAAGAACUUCUCAAAUGACCCACUGUGGGGAACUGCAACAUUAUCUAUCAUUAAUCAAUGGCAAACAAGCUAAUUUUCUAUGCGUUGUUACAUUGCUAUUCAGUGUGUUAAACAGUUUCAUUAAAGCAACAUGAUGAACAGCUUUGCAGUAAGUAGUAGUUCCUGUUUGACUCAAAUAUAUCUAUGUCAGCCUUAGACUAGAGCUAAGUAAGAGUCCUAUGGGAAUACAGUGAUUCUGUCUACAUUAUAUUAAUACCUAUUUUUUUAACUUUAACAAUUUAGCCUGAUGAAGGGUUUGCCAAUUCUCAAAUAAGCACUGUGGGGCUAAAUGAAAUAAUUUUUAGAUUUAUAAUGCUAGCAUUAACAUAUAAAGUCUUUCCAGUUGCAGCAUGAAGGUUUGUACUUGGCAUAUGAUUCAUGGGUUUGGAAGCCUAUGUUUCCUUCUUCAAUUUUUUGAGCCAAAUUAAAAUGGCUCAUUUUUCUAUUUCUCAUACAUUUUUGGAAGAAAAUAAUAUCGUAAGUGACCUUGAAAUGCCUUUUCUUCCCUCUAGCUACUUGCUUUCAUUAUUUGUAAAUGUACUGUAAAUACACUUGACAGCAGGCUCUUCUGGGAAGCUCUGUAUAACGGCUGGUAAAAUACAGGGCUCACUGGAAGCAGUAGCUUUGCCACAGAUAGCAAAAGUCCCAAAUUUAACUUUGUGCUUUGCUUUUAGAUUCUUAUUUUAGGCAAAUAAAUUAACUAUGAUCUACUGAAAGAGUGUUGCAAGAUUUAAUUUACAACUUUUACUGUCUCCUGCAAGCCUGAAGAAUUCAGCAAAGCAUCUUAAAACUGAUGUUCAUUCCAGGUGACAGAGACUCUGCUGUCUAGUUAAGAAUUACUUCUUGCAAGUGUAAAGGUAUGUUUUCAGACAUUGACAUGUCAAAAUAUUAGGAGGAAGAAACAAAAUCAAAUAAUUGCCAGGACUGCUUUGUUUUCAUGCAGAAGUUGUGGGGACUGGAGGGUGGGACAGAGAGGGGAAGAAACAGUGCAUAAACUCUUUACAAAAAUACAUAUUGCACUGAGGUCCCAGGUAAUACCUGUCUAGAAAAGAGCCAACCUAAAUCAAACCCACCGCUCUGCUCAACUCUGAAAGCGAUAAUGCUAUUCUAUGUGCUAUCCCUUUGUCUGUAAAAUAGUGUGAUGCUCAAUGAAAAAGCCACUGGACCUCUUAAAGGCUGCAGUGUAGCUACGUGGAACAGGAGCAUUCUUCAGCAAGGCCACAGAGAGCUUGAGCUCAGGUGAAGCACCAGCAAGUCCCACCGCAGGCUUUUACACAGCCCAGUAUCUG